GUGUAUCUUCUGCACUGACCUGUUGGAAGCACUGCAGCUGCUUGGCAUUUUAGAAGGUUCAGAAAAGAUCCACUGAAGCAGAGGGAAUUUGCUCAAGGUCAUUGUUUCCUGGCGAAUGUUGUGCCUUAAUGGCAUUCAGGGCAGCACUGGUGGGAAGGAGCAAAUGAGCCCAGCUGGGACCACCAGCUCUGAGGGUUUUGGGCCCCCACAGCAAAGCCUGGAUCAGCUCAAAACACCUGUCAAGGACAUACCUGAAGAGAGAGAAGUUUAAGCAGUGCUGGCAGACAAGCUUUCCUUUACCAUCCAAGUGAUGUGCCAAAGAGAUGUGACACUGGCAGGAGUGUCUCUGGAAGACCAGCAGAGCCAGGGACUCUGCACUGCACUGGCAAGGUCA